rnacentral:rRNA from 1 species
GUGAGGAAUAUUGCGCAAUGGACGGAAGUCUGACGCAGCAACGCCGCGUGCGGGAUGAAGGCCUUCUAGGUCGUAAACCGCUGUAGCAGGGGAAAAAUACUCCGUUCGACGGAGUUGAUGGUACCCUGAAAGUAAGCCUCGGCUAACUACGUGCCAGCAGCCGCGGUAAUACGUAGGAGGCAAGCGUUGUCCGGAUUUACUGGGUGUAAAGGGUCCGCAGGCGGACAUCUAAGUCGGUGGUGAAAUCCUUCAGCUUAACUGAAGAACUGCCUUCGAUACUGGAUGUCUUGAAUAUAGGAGAGGGUGACGGAAUUCCAGGUGUAGCGGUGAAAUGCUUAGAUAUCUGGAAGAACACCGGUUGCGAAGGCUGUUGCCUGGCCUAUUAUUGACGCUCAUGGACGAAAGCGUGGGGAUCAAACAGGAUUAGAAACCCGUGUAGUCC